AGUGAACGCUGGCGGUAGGCCUAACACAUGCAAGUCGAACGGCAGCACAGUAAGAGCUUGCUCUUACGGGUGGCGAGUGGCGGACGGGUGAGGAAUACAUCGGAAUCUACUUUUUCGUGGGGGAUAACGUAGGGAAACUUACGCUAACACCGCAUACGACCUACGGGUGAAAGCAGGGGAUCUUCGGACCUUGCGCGAUUGAAUGAGCCGAUGUCGGAUUAGCUAGUUGGCGGGGUAAAGGCCCACCAAGGCGACGAUCCGUAGCUGGUCUGAGAGGAUGAUCAGCCACACUGGAACUGAGACACGGUCCAGACUCCUACGGGAGGAAGCAGUGGGGAAUAUUGGACAAUGGGCGCAAGCCUGAUCCAGCCAUACCGCGUGGGUGAAGAAGGCCUUCGGGUUGUAAAGCCCUUUUGUUGGGAAAGAAAAGCAGCAGGUUAAUACCCCGCUGUUCUGACGGUACCCAAAGAAUAAGCACCGGCUAACUUCGUG
rnacentral:rRNA from 1 species